GCAAGAUUAAAACUCAAAGGAAUAGACGGGGACCCGCACAAGUGGUGGAGCAUGUGGUUUAAUUCGAAGAUGCGCGAGGAACCUUACCUAGCCUUGACAUAUUUUAGAACUCCGUAGAGAUACAGAGGUGCCUUCGGGAGCUAAUUUACAGGUGCUGCACGGCUGUCGUCAGCUCGUGUCGUGAGAUGUUGGGUUAAGUCCCGCAACGAGCGCAACCCUCGUCACUAGUUACUAACGGUUCGGCCGAGGACUCUAGUGAGACCGCCUUCGUAAGGAGGAGGAAGGUGAGGACGACGUCAAGUCAUCAUGGCCCUUACGGCUAGGGCAACACACGUGCUACAAUGGCCAGGACAGUGAGACGCGAUACCGCGAGGUGGAGCAAAUCUAUAAACCUGGUCUCAGUUCGGAUUGUAGUCUGCAACUCGACUACAUGAAGCUGGAAUCACUAGUAAUCGUAGAUCAGCUAUGCUACGAUGAAUACGUUCCCGGGUCUUGUACUCACCGCCCGUCACACCAUGGGAGUUGAUUUCACCCGAAGCGGGGAAGCUAAACUGGCUACCCUCCACGGUGGAAUUAGCGACUGGGGUGAAGUCGUAACAAGGUA
rnacentral:rRNA from 1 species